AACAAUGAAGCGAGUGGCGAACUGGUGAGUAACACGUGGGRAAUCUGCCCAGAAGCAGGGGAUAACACUUGGAAACAGGUGCUAAUACCGUAUAACAACAAAAUCCGCAUGGAUUUUGUUUGAAAGGUGGCUUCGGCUAUCACUUCUGGAUGAUCCCGCGGCGUAUUAGUUAGUUGGUGAGGUAAAGGCCCACCAAGACGAUGAUACGUAGCCGACCUGAGAGGGUAAUCGGCCACAUUGGGACUGAGACACGGCCCAAACUCCUACGGGAGGCAGCAGUAGGGAAUCUUCCACAAUGGACGAAAGUCUGAUGGAGCAAUGCCGCGUGAGUGAAGAAGGGUUUCGGCUCGUAAAACUCUGUUGUUAAAGAAGAACACCUUUGAGAGUAACUGUUCAAGGGUUGACGGUAUUUAACC
rnacentral:rRNA from 1 species